rnacentral:rRNA from 1 species
GCGGGUGCUAACGUCCGUCGUGAAGAGGGAAACAACCCAGACCGCCAGCUAAGGUCCCAAAGUCAUGGUUAAGUGGGAAACGAUGUGGGAAGGCCCAGACAGCCAGGAUGUUGGCUUAGAAGCAGCCAUCAUUUAAAGAAAGCGUAAUAGCUCACUGGUCGAGUCGGCCUGCGCGGAAGAUGUAACGGGGCUAAACCAUGCACCGAAGCUGCGGCAGCGACGCUGAUGCGUUGUUGGGUAGGGGAGCGUUCUGUAAGCCUGUGAAGGUGGCCUGUGAGGGUUGCUGGAGGUAUCAGAAGUGCGAAUGCUGACAUAAGUAACGAUAAAGCGGGUGAAAAGCCCGCUCGCCGGAAGACCAAGGGUUCCUGUCCAACGUUAAUCGGGGCAGGGUGAGUCGACCCCUAAGGCGAGGCCGAAAGGCGUAGUCGAUGGGAAACGGGUUAAUAUUCCCGUACUUGGUGUUACUGCGAAGGGGGGACGGAGAAGGCUAUGUUGGCCGGGCGACGGUUGUCCCGGUUUAAGCGUGUAGGUGUGUGUUCCAGGUAAAUCCGGUUCAC